ACGAACGCUGGCGGCGUGCCUAAUACCUGCAAGUAGAACGCACAGUUUAUACCGUAGCUUGCUACACCAUAAACUGUGAGUUGCGAACGGGUGAGUAACGCGUAGGUAACCUGCCUGGUAGCGGGGGAUAACUAUUGGAAACGAUAGCUAAUACCGCAUAAUAUUAAUUAUUGCAUGAUAAUUGAUUGAAAGAUGCAAUUGCAUCACUACCAGAUGGACCUGCGUUGUAUUAGCUAGUAGGUGAGGUAACGGCUCACCUAGGCGACGAUACAUAGCCGACCUGAGAGGGUGAUCGGCCACACUGGGACUGAGACACGGCCCAGACUCCUACGGGAGGCAGCAGUAGGGAAUCUUCGGCAAUGGACGAAAGUCUGACCGAGCAACGCCGCGUGAGUGAAGAAGGGUUUCGGAUCGUAAAGCUCUGUUGUAAGAGAAGAACGGGUGUGAGAGUGGAAAGUUCACACUGUGACGGUAUCUUACCAGAAAGGGACGGCUAACUACGUG
rnacentral:rRNA from 1 species